rnacentral:lncRNA from 1 species
UCCUGCUCUUUAAGAGAGUCAAGGCUGUAUGCAUUACUGGAUUAAUUCGAAUUAAUAGUAAUAUAAACUAGGGUCCACGUAGACUAUUCAGAGGAGGUAUGCUAAUCAAUGAUCUACUGAUGUAGCUAGUGUUACUGAAGCUUUUGCUAGAUAUGCUAUUGGCUUAACUGGCUCUAAACCCUCCCACCGGAUAAAGGAAUGGAAUUUCAAGUACAAGUAGUCGUCUACACUUAAAAGCUUUCUUGUCUUCACUGAUCAACAUUUAGUUUGGCCUAAGAUUUUCUAAGUCCGACGCAUCACUUACUUUUCGUCAUCG